rnacentral:rRNA from 1 species
AGUGAACGCUGGCGGUAGGCCUAACACAUGCAAGUCGAACGGCAGCACAGUAAGAGCUUGCUCUUACGGGUGGCGAGUGGCGGACGGGUGAGGAAUACAUCGGAAUCUACUUUUUCGUGGGGGAUAACGUAGGGAAACUUACGCUAAUACCGCAUACGACCUACGGGUGAAAGCAGGGGAUCUUCGGACCUUGCGCGAUUGAAUGAGCCGAUGUCGGAUUAGCUAGUUGGCGGGGUAAAGGCCCACCAAGGCGACGAUCCGUAGCUGGUCUGAGAGGAUGAGGCCACACACGGGAACGGAGACCCGGCCCAGACUCCUCCGGGGGGCACCAUGGGGGAAUAUGGGACAAGGGGCGCAAGCCUGACCCACCCACCCCGGGGGGUGGAAGAAGCCUUUGGGUUUUAAAACCCUUUUUGUGGGAAAAAAAAAGCAGCAGGUAAAACCCCCGCUUUUCUGACGGUACCAAAAAAAAAAGCCCCGGCUAACUUCGUG